rnacentral:tRNA from 1 species
GAGAGUAUAGCUCAGUGGUAGAGUUCGUGCUUAGCAUGCACGAGGUCCUGGGUUCAAUUCCCAGCACCUCCA